rnacentral:rRNA from 1 species
UACAGAGGGUGCGAGCGUUAAUCGGAAUUACUGGGCGUAAAGCGUGCGCAGGCGGUUUUGUAAGCCAGAUGUGAAAGCCCCGGGCUUAACCUGGGAAUGGCAUUUGGGACUGCAAGGCUUGAGUGCGGCAGAGGAGACUGGAAUUCCUGGUGGUAGCAGUGAAAUGCGUAGAUAUCAGGAGGAAUACCGAUGGCGAAGGCAGGUCUCUGGGCUGACACUGACGCUCAUGCACGAAGCG